GGCUCAGAACGAACGCUGGCGGCAUGCCUAACACAUGCAAGUCGAACGAGACCUUCGGGUCUAGUGGCGCACGGGUGCGUAACGCGUGGGAAUCUGCCCUUGGGUUCGGAAUAACAGUUAGAAAUGACUGCUAAUACCGGAUAAUGUCUUCGGACCAAAGAUUUAUCGCCCAGGGAUGAGCCCGCGUAGGAUUAGCUAGUUGGUGAGGUAAAGGCUCACCAAGGCGACGAUCCUUAGCUGGUCUGAGAGGAUGAUCAGCCACACUGGGACUGAGACACGGCCCAGACUCCUACGGGAGGCAGCAGUGGGGAAUAUUGGACAAUGGGCGAAAGCCUGAUCCAGCAAUGCCGCGUGAGUGAUGAAGGCCUUAGGGUUGUAAAGCUCUUUUACCCGGGAUGAUAAUGACAGUACCGGGAGAAUAAGCCCCGGCUAACUCCGUG
rnacentral:rRNA from 1 species